GGUUAAGUGACUAAGCGUACACGGUGGAUGCCUUGGCAGUUGGAGGCGAUGAAGGACGUAUUAACUUGCGAUAAGCUUAGUCGAGCUAGUAAAAAGCACUUGAGACUAAGAUUUCCGAAUGGGGAAACCCACCUGUUUACAGGUAUCGUUAACUGAAUACAUAGGUUAACGAGGCGAACGCGGAGAACUGAAACAUCUAAGUACCCGUAGGAAAAGAAAUCAACCGAGAUUCCGGAAGUAGCGGCGAGCGAAACCGGAACAGCCCUUAAGCUUAUUUGUGAUUAGUGGAAUGCUCUGGAAAGUGCAGCGACACAGGGUGAUAGCCCCGUACAUGAAAAUCUAUAGUAAGUGAAAUCGAGUAGGUCGGGACACGUGUUAUCUUGACUGAAUAUAGGGGGACCAUCCUCUAAGGCUAAAUACUCCCAACUGACCGAUAGUGAACCAGUACCGUGAGGGAAAGGCGAAAAGAACCCCUGUGAGGGGAGUGAAAUAGAACCUGAAACCGUGUACGUACAAGCAGUAGGAGCAUACUUGUUAUGUGACUGCGUACCUUUUGUAUAAUGGGUCAGCGACUUAUAUUUUGUAGCGAGGUUAACCAAUUAGGGGAGCCGUAGGGAAACCGAGUCUUAACUGGGCGUAUAGUUGCAAGGUAUAGACCCGAAACCCGGUGAUCUAGCCAUGGGCAGGUUGAAGGUUGAGUAACAUCAACUGGAGGACCGAACCCACUAACGUUGAAAAGUUAGGGGAUGACUUGUGGCUAGGAGUGAAAGGCUAAUCAAACCGGGAGAUAGCUGGUUCUCCCCGAAAUCUAUUUAGGUAGAGCCUCGGACGAAUACUUACGGGGGUAGAGCACUGUUAAGGCUAGGGGGUCAUCCCGACUUACCAACCCUUUGCAAACUCCGAAUACCGUAAAGUAAUAUCCGGGAGACACACGGCGGGUGCUAACGUCCGUCGUGAAGAGGGAAACAACCCAGACCGCCAGCUAAGGUCCCAAAGUGUAUGUUAAGUGGGAAACGAUGUGGAAAGGCCCAGACAGCCAGGAGGUUGGCUUAGAAGCAGCCAUCCUUUAAAGAAAGCGUAAUAGCUCACUGGUCGAGUCGGUCUGCGCGGAAGAUGUAACGGGGCUAAACAUACCACCGAAGCUGCGGCUGCAUACUUAUGUAUGCGGGGUAGGGGAGCGUUCUGUAAGCCGUUGAAGGUGAACCGGGAGGUUUGCUGGAGGUAUCAGAAGUGCGAAUGCUGACAUGAGUAACGAUAAUGCGGGUGAAAAACCCGCACGCCGGAAGACCAAGGGUUCCUAUCCCAUGUUAAUCAGGGUAGGGUGAGUCGACCCCUAAGGCGAGGCGGAAACGCGUAGUCGAUGGGAAACGGGUUAAUAUUCCCGUACUCGGCAUGAAUGCGAUGGGGAGACGGAGCAGGCUAGGCAAGCAUGGCGUUGGUUGUCCAUGUGAAAGUAAGUAGGUUGAGAACUUAGGCAAAUCCGGGUUCUUAAGACUGAGAUACGAGACGAGUCACUACGGUGAUGAAGUUGUUGAUGCCAUACUUCCAGGAAAAUCCUCUAAGCUUCAGUUCAUGCUGAAUCGUACCCCAAACCGACACAGGUGGUCAGGUAGAGAAUACUAAGGCGCUUGAGAGAACUC
rfam:Pseudoalteromonas ulvae strain TC14 Contig_123, whole genome shotgun sequence.